GUCUUGAUAGUUUAUAUAAAAUACCAGUAUGUGGGGCUGGGGAAGAUUUAUUCUUAGGACA
rnacentral:tRNA from 1 species